rnacentral:rRNA from 1 species
AGUGAACGCUGGCGGUAGGCCUAACACAUGCAAGUCGAACGGCAGCACAGUAAGAGCUUGCUCUUACGGGUGGCGAGUGGCGGACGGGUGAGGAAUACAUCGGAAUCUACUUUUUCGUGGGUGAUAACGUAGGCAAACUUACGCUAAUACCGCAUACGACCUACGGGUGAAAGCAGGGGAUCUUCGGACCUUGCGCGAUUCAAUGAGCCGAUGUCGGAUUAGCUAGUUGGCGGGGUAAAGGCCCACCAAGGCGACGAUCCGUAGCUGGUCUGAGAGGAUGAUCGGCCACACUGGAACUGAGACACGGUCCAGACUCCUACGGGAGGCAGCAGUGGGGAAUAUUGGACAAUGGGCGCAAGCCUGAUCCAGCCAUACCGCGUGAGUGAAGAAGGCCUUCGGGUUGUAAAGCCCUUUUGUUGGGAAAGAAAAGCAGCAGGUUAAUACCCCGCUGUUCUGACGGUACCCAAAGAAUAAGCACCGGCUAACUUCGUG